UGCUGAUGGGAUGACUUCUCUAAGCUGAGUGACCGUACGAUGUGUGUAGACAGGGCAGAGUAACUAGUAAUAGUAUAUAUAUAGUAAUGAAUAUCUGCUGCUGAUGGGAUGACUUCUCUAAGGUGAGUGACCGUACGGUGUGCGUGGACACCUGAGAGAACCAUAGGCCAGACUGAGCAUCUACCAUCCCACUAUCAGAUUAGGGAUGGUGGCAAUUUAUGCUUUUUGGCCCAAACUUUUUAUCUGACAUCACCCACUGAUUAACAUUGGGGUGGCAGGUAGCCUAGUGGUUAGAGUGUAGGGGCGGCAGGUAGCCUAGUGGUUAGAGUGUAGGGGCGGCAGGUAGCCUAGUGGUUAGAGUGUAGGGGUGGAGGUAGCCUAGUGGGUAGAGUGUAGGGAUGGCAGGUAGCCUAGUGGUUAGAGUGUAGGGGCGGCAGGUAGCCUAGUGGGUAGAGUGUAGGGGUGGCAGGUAGCCUAGUGGUUAGAGUGUAGGGGUGGCAGGUAGCCUAGUGGUUAGAGUGUAGGGGUGGCAGGUAGCCUAGUGGUUAGAGUGUAGGGGUGGCAGGUAGCCUAGUGGUUAGAGUGUAGGGGUGGCAGGUAGCCUAGUGGUUAGAGUGUAGGGGAGGCAGGUAGCCUAGUGGGUAGAGCGUUUGGCCAAGUAACCGAAAGGUUGCUGAAUCAAAUCCCCGAGCUGACAAGGUAAAAAUCUGUCGUUCUGCCCCUGAACAAGACUUGUAACCCAUUGUUCCC
ensembl:lncRNA